AGCACUCCUACGGGAGGCAGCAGUGGGGAAUAUUGCACAAUGGGCGCAAGCCUGAUGCAGCCAUGCCGUCGUGUAUGAAGAAGGCCUUCGGGUUGUAAAGUACUUUCAGCAGUGAGGAAGGUGGGUAUGUUAAUAGCAUAUUCAUUUGACGUUAGCUGCAGAAGAAGCACCGGCUAACUCCGUGCCAGCAGCCGCGGUAAUACGGAGGGUGCGAGCGUUAAUCGGAAUUACUGGGCGUAAAGCGCAUGCAGGUGGUUUGUUAAGUCAGAUGUGAAAGCCCGGGGCUCAACCUCGGAAUUGCAUUUGAAACUGGCAAACUAGAGUACUGUAGAGGGGGUAGAAUUUCAGGUGUAGCGGUGAAAUGCGUAGAGAUCUGAAGGAAUACCGGUGGCGAAGGCGGCCCCCUGGACAGAUACUGACACUCAGAUGCGAAAGCGUGGGGAGCAAACAGGAUUAGAUACCCUGGUAG
rnacentral:rRNA from 1 species